rnacentral:lncRNA from 1 species
UGCGGUCAUUGAAAUCUUUACUUUUAACUCCAGUACAAUCAGCCCUAAAAGUUCAUUUUACAGGAAUCUUCCAGCUGAUGUCACAAAUCCUUCUUACUACUUUGGCAUCUUCAUCUGCCUGCCUCUAUUUGGAAUGUCAUUCUUAAAUAAAAAGGUUUCUGCUUUCCUGCUUCUCUUUAGACGAGCCCGUGCCAAAACUCAGCAGUGACCUAAGGACACCGUGAUAUAUUUGCGCAUUCCUACCAAAAAAAUCAUGGGCCGCUAUCAUUUAUCGAAUCACAGG